UCUGAGGGAACAGGUGGGGCUUACAUAAAGCUAAGAGACUAGCAACGGAGAGAUUGCAGGAUAAUGGUCAGUCACUCUGAGGGAAAGAGAGAUAGGAAUCCAUAGGGCCUAGUAGACCCUAGGAGAGUCAGAUCUGACUAGAAGGAGUGGAAGCAAGGAGUGACAGGGUCAGGCUGUUGGGCAUGAGGACUGCUGAUGCUGCUUGAGCAGAAAGACUUUGAAGGACUCCACCCUGGAAGGGGAAACCACUUAGUUACCUGGCCGGAGGACCAAAUUGUGAAGAGGAAGCUUCAGCUCCUGGAGUGAGACAGGAGCCGCAGAGUGAGCAGGAGACAGGGAGUGAUGGAUGGGGUGUGAGCCUGGCAGAGCUAAUCCCCAGAACAGCCAGGAGGAGGCACUGUUGAGUGCAUAUCUGAAGAGGCAGAGAGACAGGGGCUCCAAAAGCUUCAAUAAAAUGUUAUGUGUGACAGAACAGACAGCUGGUGAAAAGAGGAGACUCAUCUUACGGCAAAGUGACAUUGAGAGCUUUCAGAGAUGCUUGCUGUGUUCACGCUAGAGAAAACCUUGAUGUGUGCAAUAAUCUACAGCCACAGCCUUGAAGAUUUCUCUCUCUUUCUCUUUUCCCAUCCUCAGUUCUCAAUAUACCUGUAAAGCAUCAAGAUGAGCUGAAGAGCACUCAGACAAUUUUUAUGUGAUUAUGUGGGCGACUAUAAGGGAGAGAUGUUUGGCAUUAUUAUGAACUUUUCCCUUCUUUUAUUUUUGUAAGUUGUUCUACACCUGUGCUGAGCUCCUAGCACCACUGAGCACUAGCAGUAGCCCAGCCUUCAUACAUAAUUCAUGCAAUCAAAACUUUGCAACUGUGCAAAAUUGUGUACCCCACAUCCUGUGCCUCCCAAUUGGCUUUCCAUAGACUGUCAGACAUUACAGCAGUGUGGCUCGCUCAGUGGCCAUAAACUGAAGCACUAAUGAAGCUGCCUGAACUGCACAGUGGAGAGUCAGUUAAUAAGUCUCUAUUUUUAAUUUUGAUCAGCUGACAGGAGGUCCAAAGUGUUGGAAAAGCUUUAAAACAAAAACCAACAGCAAGAACAAAAAAAAUCAUUGUGGCAGAAUUGAGUAGGAAAUGGACACAGAUUUUAAGAAAGGUUUUUACUUCUGAUGGACAAAAUUAAAUAUCCCUUUGAAAACACCAAAGUGUUUCAAAAUCGACCAUCUAAUUCAGUAAGUAGGCAGUUAGAUAUGAAUUGCUGAAAUAAAUGCCUUGGAGGCAUUGUGACCUUAGAAGUGUGUUAUCUUAAAUUCAUAUAUGCCUUAGAGUGUGUGUCAGCCAAAAAAAAAAGAAGAAAAGCAUCAACCUCCCAGAUGCCCCCCAUUCUGCCUAUGCUCUUUUCCCUUCCU